rnacentral:rRNA from 1 species
GAUGAACGCUGGCGGCGUGCUUAACACAUGCAAGUCGAACGAAGCACCUUGAUUUGCUUCUUCGGAUGAAGAUCUUGGUGACUGAGUGGCGGACGGGUGAGUAACGCGUGGGUAACCUGCCUCAUACAGGGGGAUAACAGUUAGAAAUGACUGCUAAUACCGCAUAAGACCACAGCACCGCAUGGUGCAGGGGUAAAAACUCCGGUGGUAUGAGAUGGACCCGCGUCUGAUUAGGUAGUUGGUGGGGUAACGGCCUACCAAGCCGACGAUCAGUAGCCGACCUGAGAGGGUGACCGGCCACAGUGGGACUGAGACACGGCCCAAACUCCUACGGGAGGCAGCAGUGGGGAAUAUUGCACAAUGGGGGAAACCCUGAUGCAGCGACGCCGCGUGAGCGAUGAAGUAUUUCGGUAUGUAAAGCUCUAUCAGCAGGGAAGAAAAUGACGGUACCUGACUAAGAAGCACCGGCUAAAUACGUG